GCCUACGGGGCGCAGCAGUAGGGAAUUUUCGUCAAUGGGCGCAAGCCUGAACGAGCAAUGCCGCGUGAACGAGGAAGGUCUUCGGAUCGUAAAGUUCUGUUGAAGGGGAAAGCGAGCGGAGAGAGGAAAUGGUCUCCGAUUGAUAUUACCCUUCGAGGAAGUCACGGCUAACUACGUGCCAGCAGCCGCGGUAAUACGUAGGUGGCGAGCGUUAUCCGGAAUGAUUGGGCGUAAAGGGUGCGUAGGCGGCCUGCUAAGUCUGGAGUGAAAGGUACCGGCUCAACCGGUACAGGCUCUGGAAACUG
rnacentral:rRNA from 1 species